UCCAAUCUUCGGGGCAGGGUGUAAUUCCCGACCGGCGGAAAUAGUCCGCGAACUGUAUAACGUUACAGUUGAUCUGGUGAAAUUCCAGAACCGACAGUGAUAGUCUGGAUGGGAGAAGAUGUCG
rfam:Oceanobacillus oncorhynchi strain Oc5 genome assembly, contig: CONTIG000001